GACAGAGGAUGCAAGCGUUAUCCGGAAUGAUUGGGCGUAAAGCGUCUGUAGGUGGCUUUUUAAGUCCGCCGUCAAAUCCCAGGGCUCAACCCUGGACAGGCGGUAGAAACUACCAAGCUGGAGUACGGUAGGGGCAGAGGGAAUUUCCGGUGGAGCGGUGAAAUGCGUAGAGAUUGGAAAGAACACCAAUGGCGAAAGCACUUUACUGGGCUAUCACUGACACUGAGAGACGAAAGCUAGGGUAGCAAAUGGG
rnacentral:rRNA from 1 species